rnacentral:rRNA from 1 species
CCUACGGGGGGCUGCAGUGGGGAAUAUUGGACAAUGGGGGCAACCCUGAUCCAGCCAUGCCGCGUGUGUGAAGAAGGCCCUCGGGUUGUAAAGCACUUUCAGUGAGGAAGAACGCCUGGUGGUUAAUACCCAUCAGGAAAGACAUCACUCACAGAAGAAGCACCGGCUAACUCCGUGCCAGCAGCCGCGGUAAUACGGAGGGUGCGAGCGUUAAUCGGAAUUACUGGGCGUAAAGCGCGCGUAGGUGGCUUGAUAAGCCGGUUGUGAAAGCCCCGGGCUCAACCUGGGAACGGCAUCCGGAACUGUGAAGCUGGAGUGCAGGAGAGGAAGGUAGAAUUCCCGGUGUAGCGGUGAAAUGCGUAGAGAUCGGGAGGAAUACCGGUGGCGAAGGCGGCCUACUGGACUGACACUGACACUGAGGUGCGAAAGCGUGGGUAGCAAACAGGAUUAGAUACCCUAGUAGUC